GUGUGUGAAGAAGGCCUUAUGGUUGUAAAGCACUUUAAGCGAGGAGGAGGCUACUUUAGUUAAUACCUAGAGAUAGUGGACGUUACUCGCAGAAUAAGCACCGGCUAACUCUGUGCCAGCAGCCGCGGUAAUACAGAGGGUGCAAGCGUUAAUCGGAUUUACUGGGCGUAAAGCGCGCGUAGGCGGCUAAUUAAGUCAAAUGUGAAAUCCCCGAGCUUAACUUGGGAAUUGCAUUCGAUACUGGUUAGCUAGAGUGUGGGAGAGGAUGGUAGAAUUCCAGGUGUAGCGGUGAAAUGCGUAGAGAUCUGGAGGAAUACCGAUGGCGAAGGCAGCCAUCUGGCCUAACACUGACGCUGAGGUGCGAAAGCAUGGGGAGCAAACAGGAUUAGAUACCCUGGUAGUCCAUGCCGUAAACGAUGUCUACUAGCCGUUGGGGCCUUUGAGGCUUUAGUGGCGCAGCUAACGCGAUAAGUAGACCGCCUGGGGAGUACGGUCGCAAGACUAAAACUCAAAUGAAUUGACGGGGGCCCGCACAAGCGGUGGAGCAUGUGGUUUAAUUCGAUGCAACGCGAAGAACCUUACCUGGCCUUGACAUAGUAAGAACUUUCCAGAGAUGGAUUGGUGCCUUCGGGAACUUACAUACAGGUGCUGCAUGGCUGUCGUCAGCUCGUGUCGUGAGAUGUUGGGUUAAGUCCCGCAACGAGCGCAACCCUUUUCCUUAUUUGCCAGCGAGUAAUGUCGGGAACUUUAAGGAUACUGCCAGUGACAAACUGGAGGAAGGCGGGGACGACGUCAAGUCAUCAUGGCCCUUACGGCCAGGGCUACACACGUGCUACAAUGGUCGGUACAAAGGGUUGCUACCUAGCGAUAGGAUGCUAAUCUCAAAAAGCCGAUCGUAGUCCGGAUUGGAGUCUGCAACUCGACUCCAUGAAGUCGGAAUCGCUAGUAAUCGCGGAUCAGAAUGCCGCGGUGAAUACGUUCCCGGGCCUUGUACACACCGCCCGUCA
rnacentral:rRNA from 1 species